rnacentral:rRNA from 1 species
GAGUUUGAUCAUGGCUCAGGAUGAACGCUGGCGGCGUGCUUAACACAUGCAAGUCGAACGAACCUUCGGGUUAGUGGCGGACGGGUGAGUAACGCGUGGGAAUCUGCCCUCAGGAGGGGGAUAACGGCUGGAAACGGCCGCUAAUACCCCAUAUGCCGAGAGGUGAAAUGAAUUUCGCCUGAGGAUGAGCCCGCGUCUGAUUAGCUAGUUGGUGAGGUAAGAGCUCACCAAGGCAUCGAUCAGUAGCUGGUCUGAGAGGAUGAUCAGCCACACUGGGACUGAGACACGGCCCAGACUCCUACGGGAGGCAGCAGUGGGGAAUUUUCCGCAAUGGGCGAAAGCCUGACGGAGCAACGCCGCGUGAGGGAUGAAGGCCUCUGGGCUGUAAACCUCUUUUCUCAAGGAAGAAGAUCUGACGGUACUUGAGGAAUAAGCCACGGCUAAUUCCGUGCCAGCAGCCGCGGUAAUACGGGAGUGGCAAGCGUUAUCCGGAAUUAUUGGGCGUAAAGCGUCCGCAGGCGGCCCUUCAAGUCUGCUGUUAAAACGUGGAGCUUAACUCCAUCAUGGCAGUGGAAACUGUUGGGCUUGAGUGUGGUAGGGGCAGAGGGAAUUCCCGGUGUAGCGGUGAAAUGCGUAGAUAUCGGGAAGAACACCAGUGGCGAAGGCGCUCUGCUGGGCCAUAACUGACGCUCAUGGACGAAAGCCAGGGGAGCGAAAGGGAUUAGAUACCCCUGUAGUCCUGGCCGUAAACGAUGAACACUAGGUGUCGGGGGAAUCGACCCCCUCGGUGUCGUAGCCAACGCGUUAAGUGUUCCGCCUGGGGAGUACGCACGCAAGUGUGAAACUCAAAGGAAUUGACGGGGGCCCGCACAAGCGGUGGAGUAUGUGGUUUAAUUCGAUGCAACGCGAAGAACCUUACCAGGGCUUGACAUCCUGCGAACCUCUUGGAAACGAGAGGGUGCCUUCGGGAACGCAGUGACAGGUGGUGCAUGGCUGUCGUCAGCUCGUGUCGUGAGAUGUUGGGUUAAGUCCCGCAACGAGCGCAACCCACGUCUUUAGUUGCCAGCAUUUAGUUGGGCACUCUAGAGAGACCGCCGGUGAUAAACCGGAGGAAGGUGUGGAUGACGUCAAGUCAUCAUGCCCCUUACAUCCUGGGCUACACACGUACUACAAUGCUACGGACAAAGAGCAGCAAGUUCGCGAGGACAAGCAAAUCUCAUAAACCGUGGCUCAGUUCAGAUCGUAGGCUGCAACUCGCCUACGUGAAGGAGGAAUCGCUAGUAAUCGCAGGUCAGCAUACUGCGGUGAAUACGU